CUUUCCAAAAGAUAUGCAGGUACAACAGAUCCUAUGUUCAAUCUGCACAUCAAGAUUGGCUGUCUGGGAGAGGUGGCUACCAAGCAUCGAGUGCAGAGGAAACGAAAUUGACUUUAUAUUUCUUUUCUAAAGAUUCAGAAAGUCGCUACACAUUCGGUUCUCUCGCUGAAGCUUCAAGUUGAAGCACUGCCUUCUACUGAAACACGUGUGCGAAGCUCUUGGUUUUCUUCAGUGGAAGUUGAGGAUGGUCCAGACUCUUGUAAUCAGACGGCUGAACCUCAGAUG